UCCCUGGUUGAUCCUGCCAGUAGUUAUAUGCUUGUCUCAAAGAUUAAGCCAUGCAUGUCUCAGUGCAAGCCGUAUUAAGGCGAUACCGCGAAUGGCUCAAUAUAUCAGUUUUGGUUCCUUAGAUCUUACUCAGUUACUUGGAUAACUGUGGUAAUUCUAGAGCUAAUACAUGCAAUCAGAACUCUGACCAGUGAUGGGAACGAGUGCUUUUAUUAGAUCAAAACCAAUCGACGGAGGGCCUCGCGUCCGAUGUCGUUAAUUUUGAUGAAUCUGGAUAACUUUUGCCGAUCGCAUGGUCCAGUACCGGCGACGCAUCUUUCAAAUGUCUGCCUUAUCAACUUUCGAUGGUAGUUUCUGCGACUACCAUGGUUGUCACGGGUAACGGGGAAUCAGGGUUCGAUUCCGGAGAGGGAGCCUGAGAAACGGCUACCACAUCCAAGGAAGGCAGCAGGCGCGCAAAUUACCCACUCCCGGCACGGGGAGGUAGUGACGAAAAAUAACGAUACGGGACUCUAACGAGGCCUCGUAAUCGGAAUGAGUACACUUUAAAUAUUUUAACGAGGAACAAUUGGAGGGCAAGUCUGGUGCCAGCAGCCGCGGUAAUUCCAGCUCCAAUAGCGUAUACUAAAAUUGUUGCGGUUAAAAAGCUCGUAGUUGCAUUUGUGCGCCGCGCUGUCGGUGCACCGCAUUAGCGGUGAUACUGACACGUCUGCGGAGCAUAUCGUCGGUGAGCCGUCGGUAAAACGACGGUUCAAUAUCAAAAUCCUAUCGCGGUGCUCUUCGGUGAGUGUCGAGGUGGGCCGACAAUUUUACUUUGAACAAAUUAGAGUGCUCAAAGCGGGCUCAAAAUGCUGCUUGAAUAUUUCGUGCAUGGAAUAAUAGAAUAUGAUCUCGGUUCUAUUUUGUUGGUUUUCAGAACUCCGAGGUAAUGAUUAAUAGGGAUAACUGGGGGCAUUCGUAUUGCGACGUUAGAGGUGAAAUUCUUGGAUCGUCGCAAGACGAACAUCAGCGAAAGCAUUUGCCAAAGGUGUUUUCAUCAAUCAAGAACGAAAGUUAGAGGUUCGAAGGCGAUUAGAUACCGCCCUAGUUCUAACCGUAAAUAUGUCAUCUAGCGAUCCGCCGACGUUACUACAAUGGCUCGGCGGGCAGCUUCCGGGAAACCAAAGAUUUUGGACUCCGGGGGGAGUAUGGUUGCAAAGCUGAAACUUAAAGGAAUUGACGGAAGGGCACCACCAGGAGUGGAGCCUGCGGCUUAAUUUGACUCAACACGGGAAAUCUCACCAGGCCCGGACACCGGAAGGAUUGACAGAUUAACAGCUCUUUCUUGAUUCGGUGGGUGGUGGUGCAUGGCCGUUCUUAGUUGGUGGAGCGAUUUGUCUGGUUAAUUCCGGUAACGAACGAGACUCUAGCCUGCUAAAUAGGCGUCGUCAUUUAGGUGUGCGUGGCUCCGUCACGCAACUCACUGGCGACGUAUUAAAAUUCUUCUUAGAGGGACCGGCGUCUUCGAGCCGCACGAGAUUGAGCAAUAACAGGUCUGUGAUGCCCUUAGAUGUCCUGGGCCGCACGCGCGCUACACUGAAGGAAUCAGCAUGUUCUCCCUGGCCUAGAGGCCCGGGCAACCCGUUGAAACUCCUUCGUGCUGGGGAUUGGGGUUUGCAAUUAUCCCCCAUAAACGAGGAAUUCCUAGUAAGCGCGAGUCAUAAGCUCGCGUUGAUUACGUCCCUGCCCUUUGUACACACCGCCCGUCGCUACUACCGAUUGAAUGAUUUAGUGAGGUCUUCGGACCGACACGCGGUGGCUUCACGGCCGUCGGCGUUGCUGGGAAGUUGACCAAACUUGAUCAUUUAGAGGAAGUAAAAGUCGUAACAAGGUUUCCGUAGGUGAACCUGCGGAAGGAUCAUUA
rnacentral:rRNA from 1 species